rnacentral:tRNA from 2 species
GUGGGCGUGGUCGAGGGGUUAAGACGCCAGGUUGUGGCCCUGGAGAUCGAGGGUUCAAUUCCCUCCGCUCACCCCA